AUGCUCACCUGGCAGGGGAGAUGCCAUGCUCGCGAAUGUAAUUUUCCCAGGGCUUAUCCAUUGCACUUGGGGUGUGCUGACUCCCGCAGUUUCCCCAAAGGUGGGAAACUUGGCUGCCUAAUUUGUGGUAGUGGGGGACUGCGUUUGCACUCUCCCCUC